rnacentral:rRNA from 1 species
UACGUAUGGUGCGAACGUUGUUCGGAAUCACUGGGCAUAAAGAGCACGUAGGCGGUUGAGCAAGUCCAUUGUGAAAUCCCCCGGCCUAACCGAGGAACUGCAUUGGAUACUACUUGACUUGAGUGCAGGAGGGGAGAGUGGAAUUCCAGGUGGAGCGGUGAAAUGCGUAGAUAUCUGGAGGAACGCCGGCGGCGAAAGCGACUCUCUGGUCUGUAACUGACGCUGAGGUGCGAAAGCUAGGGGAGCAAACGGG